AGCCUUAUACAAAAUGGAAUCAUAAUAGGAUCUUGGAAACCUGUUAGAAAUCAGCUAAAUAGAUUUAAACACUUCAAAAACCUGGAAAUUAAUUCUAGUUUUCUGCAACAACUUCACCGUGUUGCAGAACCUUCCUUCAGUCUUCAAAACCUAACUAUAUCCUUGUGUCUUCUAGCUUAAGUCUAUAAAUUCCUUUGAGGUAAGAUGGG
rnacentral:lncRNA from 1 species